rnacentral:tRNA from 1 species
GCGGGAUUCGUAUAAUGGUAGUACGCUAGCCUUCCAAGCUGGUGGCGCGGGUUCGAUUCCCGCAUCCCGCU